CCUAGGAAAGGACAUCUUAAUCCCUCUACCACGUAUUGUCUUCCACACAAUAUUUGGGAUAAGAAAAUGAGUCCAAAUUUAUCUUAGUUAUCCAGGUAUAUGUUGUAUAACUGCAGCCCAUAGAGUCUCUUUUUUAAAAAGUUAACCUUGAUGGAUUACUUUAGGACUGAAAAGCAAAGAAAGUAGAGCCUAGAGUCAUAAAGAGAAAUGUAAGAACACGGGCAGCACAUGCUGGGGCCAAAGCAGGGGUCAGAAAACAAGUUCUGAAAAGGCUUAGAGGAGCACGAAGCUGCUGUCGCUGGGACUGCCAGAGUUAGAGCUCGAUCUGGACCUGAAGAGCCAAUUGGGGAGAAAAGGGGAUCAUUACUAUAUUGAGUGCAAAAGAUUCAUGGUGACUGCUUCAUGGAAAUCAUGCUCUUGUCACUUGUUCAAGGUCAGUAGAAAUAAUGGCAUCUAAGCAACUCUACUACUUCUCACAUGGAGGAAAAAAACAGGCUUAUUGUAAAGAACUCAGAAAACUGGCACAGAGUGUAAAGUCAGAAGUGAUUCCUAUUAAUUAACCUUGUGGGAUAUUUCCUUCAAGUCGAACAGUUCAGAAUCUUCAGUUGUCAAUAAUAACCCUAAAUAAAUUAAUGCAAAGUU